rnacentral:rRNA from 1 species
UGAUCCUGGCUCAGAACGAACGCUGGCGGCAGGCCUAACACAUGCAAGUCGAGCGCGCCUUCGGGUGAGCGGCGGACGGGUUAGUAACGCGUGGGAACGUGCCUUCUCUACGGAAUAGCCUCUGGAAACGGAGAGUAAUACCGUAUACGCCCUUUGGGGGAAAGAUUUAUCGGAGAAGGAUCGGCCCGCGUUAGAUUAGGUAGUUGGUGGGGUAACGGCCUACCAAGCCUACGAUCUAUAGCUGGUUUUAGAGGAUGAUCGGCAACACUGGGACUGAGACACGGCCCAGACUCCUACGGGAGGCAGCAGUGGGGAAUCUUAGACAAUGGGGGCAACCCUGAUCUAGCCAUGCCGCGUGAGUGAUGAAGGCCUUAGGGUCGUAAAACUCUUUCGCCUGUGAUGAUAAUGACAGUAGCAGGUAAAGAAACCCCGGCUAACUCCGUGCCAGCAGCCGCGGUAAUACGGAGGGGGUUAGCGUUGUUCGGAAUUACUGGGCGUAAAGCGCGCGUAGGCGGAUUAGAAAGUUGGGGGUGAAAUCCCGGGGCUCAACCCCGGAACUGCCUUUAAUACUGCUAGUCUAGAGUUCGAGAGAGGUGAGUGGAAUUCCGAGUGUAGAGGUGAAAUUCGUAGAUAUUCGGAGGAACACCAGUGGCGAAGGCGGCUCACUGGCUCGAUACUGACGCUGAGGUGCGAAAGUGUGGGGAGCAAACAGGAUUAGAUACCCUGGUAGU